CACUGAUGCAUUGAACGGGCAAAAGGCAGGAGAGGAUUGCCUGCUGCAGAUGACAAAGAAGAUUCAUGGAAAAAAUGAAAGGACGUUUGUGAAGACUGAGCCCCACCAAACACGAUCCACUAGAUACAGUACUCAGUGACAACCUGGGAAAUGAGGCUGAGACACUCUUCCUGUGCCACUGGAAGGAUAGAAAACAAACCAAAUAUCUUGGAACGAGCUGGUUUCCUGCAGAAUAAUAAUAAUAAUAAAAAAGGCAGCUAUGCUGAAACCUAGAACAUGGUGGCUGUUCUUAAAUAGUCCUGAACCUGAAACUUGCUUUGUG